rnacentral:rRNA from 1 species
UGCAGUCGAGCGGACAGAUGGGAGCUUGCUCCCUGAUGUUAGCGGCGGACGGGUGAGUAACACGUGGGUAACCUGCCUGUAAGACUGGGAUAACUCCGGGAAACCGGGGCUAAUACCGGAUGGUUGUUUGAACCGCAUGGUUCAGACAUAAAAGGUGGCUUCGGCUACCACUUACAGAUGGACCCGCGGCGCAUUAGCUAGUUGGUGAGGUAACGGCUCACCAAGGCGACGAUGCGUAGCCGACCUGAGAGGGUGAUCGGCCACACUGGGACUGAGACACGGCCCAGACUCCUACGGGAGGCAGCAGUAGGGAAUCUUCCGCAAUGGACGAAAGUCUGACGGAGCAACGCCGCGUGAGUGAUGAAGGUUUUCGGAUCGUAAAGCUCUGUUGUUAGGGAAGAACAAGUGCCGUUCAAAUAGGGCGGCACCUUGACGGUACCUAACCAGAAAGCCACGGCUAACUACGUGCCAGCAGCCGCGGUAAUACGUAGGUGGCAAGCGUUGUCCGGAAUUAUUGGGCGUAAAGGGCUCGCAGGCGGUUUCUUAAGUCUGAUGUGAAAGCCCCCGGCUCAACCGGGGAGGGUCAUUGGAAACUGGGGAACUUGAGUGCAGAAGAGGAGAGUGGAAUUCCACGUGUAGCGGUGAAAUGCGUAGAGAUGUGGAGGAACACCAGUGGCGAAGGCGACUCUCUGGUCUGUAACUGACGCUGAGGAGCGAAAGCGUGGGGAGCGAACAGGAUUAGAUACCCUGGUAGUCCACGCCGUAAACGAUGAGUGCUAAGUGUUAGGGGGUUUCCGCCCCUUAGUGCUGCAGCUAACGCAUUAAGCACUCCGCCUGGGGAGUACGGUCGCAAGACUGAAACUCAAAGGGAUUGACGGGGGCCCGCACAAGCGGUGGAGCAUGUGGUUUAAUUCGAAGCAACGCGAAGAACCUUACCAGGUCUUGACAUCCUCUGACAUCCUAGAGAUAGGACGUCCCCUUCGGGGCAGA